AAAAAGAAGAAGAAGAAGAAGAAGAAAAAAAUGGUGACAAAGGUCAAUUUUAGUUUGUGAAGGGUUCAAAUGUUAAAUUUGUCCAUUUUUUCUAAAAACGGAUGCAAAUUAUUGGUUGAGCUAAUAGGAUUAAUAAAUGGAAUAGUUUUGACUUAAGUCUUGGUUUCCAAAAGUAAUGGUUAAAAAUUUUUGCUUUUCUGCUUUUCCACCAUAAAUGCAUAACAUUCACUCAUAGAUAGUCCAAACUAGACCUUUUUGGAAUCCCUAUGAUCAGACAAAUAAUGCUGUAUGCUUUUCAAUAUGGUUGCAGCAUUUUUAAAUGUGUACCCCAGUGUACCUGUUCAAUGGCCCUCUUACCUGGCUAUCGCUGCCACACUGGGAUGGCCACCAUACAUUUGUGUUGGGCAUAGUACACUAUCAGAAAACCUGCUUGGCCCCUGAACUACUACAGAGAUACGGAAUAAAAUUUGUAUCAUGAGUACAAGCAUGUAUGUGUAGUGCAUGUACAGUAAAAUACAGUAAAUGAAAAGUAUUAAUUCUGAGUAAUUAUUAUAUUUACUUCAGAAAUACUGAAGAGUGAAAGUAUGAAGCAAAAUAAAAAUGCUGAAGUACCACAAAAUAGCAUUUACAGUCAGAUUUGCAUUCCGCCGCUGCUUCUUUCUUUUGCACAGCGACUAUUUUGACAAAUUCCACCAAAAUUUACAAAAAAAAAAAUUAAAAAAUAAAAAUUAAAAACAUAUUUUCAGAGACAAACGAGCUGUUUGUAAUGAGUAAUUCCAGCUUUGGUUUCACUUCACAUCAAGUUAUAGACUAACUAGAGUCUAAUAUUAACCAAAACAGUUGUAUAACGACAGACUGUAGUCGUUCCAAUGGUUUAACAAUUGUUACAUUGCCCCACUAAGUCAGUAACUUUCAUAAAAGUUGCAACAUACUGUGUUGAUUGCAGUGUUGUAUCUUGGAGUACCUCUCAGCACACUUUUGGCUUCAACUGUGGACCUUGUGUUUUUGGUGUCUGCCCACAUCUCUGUUUGUUUGUUGGCGCAGAUGCGUCGCUGGAUUAUUCGAAAUCUUAUGAACUAAUUUCUCCAAAAGUUGGUCAAAGGGUUGAACAUGGUUAGGAUGAAACACUGUGACAUUUUCAGCCUGAUUGGAAUAAAGAAACAGAGUUUGAAAGACUUAAAAUAAUGUUGCACUACUACAAGAUAGGAGAUUUUAGGCCUUGAUGGGAAAGUUCACUCUGAGUGCCCCCUAGUUAAGCAAUACAUAUAUUAAAAAAUAAAAAAUAAAAAUAAAAAAUAAGUAAUGCCAAAAAAAAAAAAAAUCUCAUUUAACUCUCACCACCAGAGGCAGAGUUGCGUUUUUACAUAAAUUACAAAUUUCGUUCUCACAUUUGAAUCAAUAAA